AAAUGACAGGACAUUAGAAUUUAUUUUUCUGUAGCUUUCAAAUGAACAUCUUAAUGACAGGUUUCUACUGAAAUAAGUGUUUAAAUGAAGUUCACGAAUCAGCCUGGCAUCUCCGAGAACCUGACCGCCAGAGGCCUGCUGGGAACAGGACUUCCUAAAGCAAGUAUGUCUGGAAGGCUGUGGUGCAAGGCCAUUUUUGCUAGCUACAAGCAAGGUCUCAGGAACCAAAGGGAGCACACGGCUCUUCUUAAAAUUGAAGGCUUUUAUGCCCGAGAUGAAACUGAGUUCUACUUAGGCAAGAGAUGUGCUUAUGUGUAUAAAGCAAAAAACAAUACAGUGACUCCUGGAGGCAAACCAAAUGAAACCAGAGUGAUCUGGGGAAAAGUAACUCGGGCCCACGGAAACAGUGGGAUGGUUCGUGCCAAAUUCCGAAGCAACCUUCCUGCAAAGGCCAUUGGACACAGAAUCCAUGUGAUGCUGUACCCAUCCCGGAUUUAAACUAAUGGAGAGUAAAUAAAUAAAAGUAGAUUUGUGCUCUUGUAAAAAAAAA